ACUUGAUACGCGGGGCCCAAGCCCACCAAAUAAAGAACAACCCAAGAGCAUGGUGAAGGGUAAAGUGGACAUUGCCACAUAAGGAGGGGUGUGUUUAUCAUCAUAGGGGUGNCAUUAUGAGACCUCCCUCCACAUGUGCAGAUUUUCUUUCUUUGUUUAUUUUCACAUGUUUCAUAAGGCUUUCUAGAAGCCAUCCACAUUUAGCACAUGGUUUAUUAGUUGGAAUGAGAUCUGAAACGUGUAGAUCUGAUUCUUCCCAUGCAUAGCCGAGAGGUUGAGUUAUAAAACCUCCUUGGCAUAGCUUGUAUCACUCACUUUUGGAAUAAUAUUGUUGAAACUCUGCUGAAAUGUUUAGCAAGUUCCUCUCCAAGAGUCAUCUUCUUAGCUUGAUUUCCAUUGCAACUUUCUUCCACUCUAGGAAGCCUUCUGAGUUGUGAAUCAUCCAUCCAAGCUAGCCUCCAUCUCACCUCACCACAAACACCCACAAUCCG
rnacentral:lncRNA from 1 species